AAAGCUGGGGACCCUUUUGAGCAUCACUUGGAUGCAAAACUGUUUUGUCACAAGAAGAGGAAGGACCUUGAUGGAGAGGGGCUCAGGAGUUGAGCAGAGCUAGCUCUUCAGGCAUGAGGUGAUGAAGGAAGCCUGUCUCCUGACCCAAAGUGGUGCAGUGGCUGUCUCUGAGCAGAUGGGCAGUGGAUGCUUUCUCUGUAUGUCUCUCUCACUCCUAGGAAACCUGCACAAUAUGCUUUUCAAGUCUGCUGUUCCAGAAGAGCAACUAAACACCUGCUGAACUUUGAUCCUCUGUCAAGGAAUAAAGCUGAAUUGAGGGGGAAAGGAGCGUUUAUUCCCAGUGGGUAAAGAGAGGAAGGCUGAAAUGAAGGAUUUUCUCCAAUGAGCAGCAAACCCCACCUUUGAAUUUCCAGUAAAUCUAUUGGGAGUACAAAGCAAACCAAUCAAAAAACGUCAAGGUGUAUUUACUGUCCUAUUAACCUGGUGGCCCAUUCCCUCUCUGGCACACGCUGGCAGCACACAAAGGUACAUCCCAGUGCUGGGGAGGGAGCGUGGCUGUGAGCCCAGCUGGGGCAAGGUGACCAAAUGGCUCCUGGCUCCUGCUCUCCAGCCAUGACAGCAUGGAAAGGGGGUGCUGGAGGUGAGCCUGUUCUGGGAACAGUGGUGCUUGGGGGCUGUGCCAGUCCUUUGUGCUGGCUGCUCUCAACGAGGCAGAAAUUUAAUUGUAACAAGGAACUCGCACACGCUUAUCUGCAGCUGAAGCCAAAGCAGCUUCUGUUAGAGAUCACCUAGACUUGACUGCUGUCAAAUACUGGCUGCAAGUGAGAUGGGUUUCCUGAAUGCUGUAUUUUUACUUGGUGACACAUCUAGAACUUUUGGAAAGGGGUUUUUUAAAAUGCUUGUCUUUAAGGUUUUUGCAGGUGUCUUUUUUACUGUUUUUUUUCAUGAAAAGAGAAUUGGGCAAUCACAGAAUUGUGAUGAAAAGUUGCCUCUUAUUCUCUUGCUUCAUAGCCCAUGGCCAUCCUGAAGAAUAAAGGAAAUGCUGAUAAAUUGGGCAUAUUCCCCAUCUACUGUUCCUCUGUGCCAUCCUCAGAGCAUGUCCUGCUCCUAGCUGCUCUGUUAACUUGUCUCUGCAUAUAACACUCGCUACAUAAAACACAACUGGGUGCUUUUCGCUCUGAUUAAAAUCAUGCUGUGCAAUAGGAAAUACAAAUUAGCUCUGGCCUUUGGGCUCCUGACAAGUUUCCAGCACCGCUUUCAACACCACAGAGAUUGUGUAACUCCAUCUGUGUCUGCUCUGUGUGGUGACGUCUCCCCCUCCGUCAUGAGCUGGGCUGGCUGCCACUCAUCCAGGUUCAGCUGCUAAUACUUCAAGCAGCUUUUAGAAGUGAAGGAGGAAGAGAUGGUGCCAGCAGCUGGGUUAGCUUUUCCUUGCUAGAGGACUAUGUGGGAAGGGUUAAAAGGAGGAGGACUUCCUAGGUAAUUCCCCUAAUCUUGAUGUUUGUGCAAACGCCUCCCUUUUGAAUGAAUGACUGGGGAGCUCAGCACUGGAGAGCCAAUGCUUCAGCACAAGAUUAACCCCUGAAGGAGGAGCACAGUAGUCGCUUAUUCAAACUAAGCUAAAGUUUGUGUUUCUGUGAAGCGCACGGCACUUUCCUGCCUCCUCCAGGGAUUCAAGCCAGGCGUGCUGUCUUACAUCAUCUCAGCGUUGCUCUCUCAAGGGCUGAGGCUCCAGCUAUCGUGUCACGUUUUCAGCAGAAACCUUUUAAGUCUCGGCGACUUCCUCUGGCGAUGUUGAAGCAAACAGUGCCCAGACCUGUGAGUGAACGAGUUGCAAAUGACAUCGCCGGUUUGAAACGCUGCGUGGGCACGACGUGGGCGAAUGUUCCCUGCACUGGGUGUUUUCUAAAGCCUGAGUUGCAGCUGGGCCAUCUCUUUGUCUGCUGGAUAUCAUCUCUGGUGUUUAUUUGGCUGUCCCUGUCCUGCUGGGUGACAGCCACCAUCCUUGUGGCUGAUGGUUGUGAGUUCUCCCCUCCUCCCAAAAGACAAGUAGGCAUAUUUGUGGGUACCUGUAUGUGGUUCAGCCAGAACUACCAGAAAACUCCCCUUUCUCCCUUCUGGCAACCUCCCUGCCCUGCUGUCCCUUCUUUAUCUUCCCUUUAUGCCAUGUACAGUGUAUGGCAUGUGGUCUGAGAGAUGCACAAAGCCAGGCAUGGGCUUUGGAUGCUUUUAUUGUGCAACAGUGAGUGCCUUCUUCUCCCAUACCCUCUUCUCUACUAAUGUGCAGUGUGCUGGUUGUUAUGUCUUUGAUAAGAAAAAGCUUCUUGCUAAGACCCUCACCUGUAGUCAUAAGCCAGCAUUCUAGAGCUACCAAUAAAUCACUUUUCCCUGCUGAUAGCAGCCCUCAGCCCUGUAGACCUUGCUGGAGGUCUGUGAAUGGCUAGAGAAUAACACACUAGUGGAUGAAGGAUGUUGCACAGCAAAGGUUGUCUGUGAAGAUGAUGUGCCUGUAGAUUCAUUCUGUAGAGUGUGCAGAAUGAAAUUUGAUUGCUGACUUCAACCACAGCAGAAUUCCCACACUGAGUCCCUAGCAAUGGCCCAAUGUGACCUGUGCUUAGCACCAUGACCCAAACCCCACUAAGAUCCUGACUCCACACUGGCCCAUACAACAGUGAGCUGUACCUGACCCAUAUAUGCACAAGCAUGUAUUACAGUACUAGGCAACAGUAUGAUCUUCCUAUCAUUCUAGUUCUUCAGUCCUAAGAUCUUCUUCCUAUUUCUGGCAUUUUCUCUGCCUUCCACUGUCCACCCAUGGCAAUACAUCACCCUAAACUUAAGCCUGAGCACGUCCAUCAUCCCUACAGGCUUCAUUGGAAGCCACUUGAUGUGGUUGAUUCAAGUGCCUCUGCAGGUUUAUCUCAUAAUGAUAAGAAACAGGUAGCAGGCCUUACAAUUUCUCCCCAAUACUCACAUUAUUCAAGAAGAAUCCUAUACUUUAAGCCCUUUUAUCCCACAGCCUGAUUCUAGCCUUAAGGAUAAACUAUCAGCCAGCAUUCCUUCAGUCACAAGCAGAAGCAUUGUGCCUUACUGACUACCAGCACUCAGGCCUGCCCUGAAGAGCAAGUAAAGAGGAGGUGCUCUCUAGUCCUUGGUGUCCCAACCUCUAACCCUGACUUUCGUGUCUGAAGAUCCAAUGCUCAUUACUUACAGUCCUGUACCUCUGAGUGCCAGAUCCACUCACCCCUGCCAGCCCCUGCCCACAUUACCUUGUUUCUAACAGUGUUUCUGCUGGAAUCCAGGCACGGAGAUGGUGGCAGGCAGUGGUACUUGCUCUGUGUACAAGCUGUAAGCUGGGUACAAGAUGGGGCAUGGGGGAGUGAGAGAGUGUCUGUACAUCAGUGAGUGAGCAGGGAGUCGUGGUCUGUGGCACUGAUCACUCUCCUUUCCUAAAACAAGCUUCAUUGUUCCCAUCUUCUUAAUUCUCACUGCCCUUCCACUGGUUGUUCUUCACCAUCUCCAGCCUUUUUCUCCAGCCUUUGGAUUUCCAGAGGUACCAGCUGUUCUAGAGCUGGCUCUUCAGCCCUCCCCAGCCCUCUGUCAUUACUGCCUUGCCUGUUUUUGGCAGUCAGAGCUCAGCCAGAGGCCAAGCAUAUGAACCUAUGUUGCCUCUUAGAAGGCAGUCUGCACACUGUAUUUCACAUUGGUGUGUCUUGCUGGUUGGGAAACAAGAAUGGAGAGUGCUACAGCCUCAGGUGUCUUCUGAUAUCAUUGUGUAGCUGUGAAUAAUGAGCUUGCUUCUGAAGUUUUUUCUGGGAUUAGCCUUUAAACUUGCUUCACUUAAGUAUUUACAUUGAAGGUAGGUAUUGCAUUUUUUGUUUCUGAAUUGUGUUUAGUAAGAUUGUCACAGAAAAGCUCUCCAAGGUUCAGGAAAAAAUACUUAUUAAAAGGGGUUUUGUAAUUGUUACAGUGUGUGGUCCUCAGCUUUCCUGAAUUUUUGUUGUGUUACAUUCAAAUAUAGUCUAGUGUUGUUUGAAAGAAAGCUUGGAAAGAGAAAAGCUGACAGCAGGUCAGACUGAGGGAGGUGGAGCUGCAUUAUGCCACUUUUUUGGCCACAGAUGAAGUUGGUAUUCCCCACCUGGUUAAGGUGCAGCAGACUGAAUCACUAACACACCUUGCUCUGAAAUAAAUCACAGUGGCAAAAUGACAUUGCUUGUGGCAGUAGGCAAAGUGCUUAUUAAAUAGCGAGCGUUACUUUGCAUGCUUAAGAUCACAACUUCUCUCUUGAAAACAAACAAACAAACAAACAAACAAGCAAACAAACAAACAUUUCUUUUUCCACAAUCAAGGCCAGUGAAAGGCAGGUCCCCACAGGGUGCAGAGACCAGCCAGCUUCCUCAUUCUUUGCACUCUCACGGAUGGGUUGCUUUCUUCUAUGUCAAACACUUCCUGAUACACAACACCCGUGCAUUUUUAUGGCCAGUUUGGAUAAAGACAUCACUCCAGCUGGUGACUGCAGCUUCCAGAUAAGACUGACCCUGUGACAGUGUAAGAAACACCCAACUAAGGAGGAAGGAAUUGUGUUUUCAGACUCCAGAGUGGCUACAUAUACUAACAAACACAGAAUUUUGUUGCACAAACACAGAACAACAACUCCAACUGGGACAGUUCUCUUGGUAGUCCUCACAUUAUCUGUGAUUGAUUCUGAAUGAGUUUGCAGGGCCUACCAUUAGAAAGCAACUUCCUGAGUGUGUCAUUAAGGAAUAAAGGGAAACAAUAUUUUUAA